rnacentral:tRNA from 2 species
GUGGUGGCUCAAUUGGUAGAGCAGCGGUCUCCAAAACCGCAGGUUGCAGGUUCGAGUCCUGUCCGCC